rnacentral:rRNA from 1 species
UGGGGAAUAUUGCACAAUGGGCGGAAGCCUGAUGCAGCAACGCCGCGUGAGGGAUGACGGCCUUCGGGUUGUAAACCUCUUUUAGCAGGGAAGAAGCGAGAGUGACGGUACCUGCAGAAAAAGCGCCGGCUAACUACGUGCCAGCAGCCGCGGUAAUACGUAGGGCGCAAGCGUUAUCCGGAAUUAUUGGGCGUAAAGAGCUCGUAGGCGGUUUGUCGCGUCUGCUGUGAAAUCCCGAGGCUCAACCUCGGGCCUGCAGUGGGUACGGGCAGACUAGAGUGCGGUAGGGGAGAUUGGAAUUCCUGGUGUAGCGGUGGAAUGCGCAGAUAUCAGGAGGAACACCGAUGGCGAAGGCAGAUCUCUGGGCCGUAACUGACGCUGAGGAGCGAAAGGGUGGGGAGCAAACAGGCUUAGAUACCCUGGUAGUCCACCCGUAAACGUUGGGAACUAGUUGUGGGGACCAUUCCACGGUUUCCGUGACGCAGCUAACGCAUUAAGUUCCCGCCUGGGGAGUACGGCCGCAAGGCUAAAACUCAAAUGAAUUGACGGGGUCAUAGCUGUUUCCU